CGCACAUUGCGCCCCUUGGUAUUCCGGGGGGCAUGCCCGUUCGAGCGUCAUUUCACCACUCAAGCCCGGCUUGGUGUUGGGCCCCGGGGGCGACCCGGGCCCGAAAGUCGUCGGCCGAAAUGGUCUGAUCGCAGCGUCGUGGUUAAUCAACUCGCUGGCGAGACGGCCGUUCCGCGCCGGAACACUUCUUCAGGUUGACCUCGGAUCGGGUAGGGAUACCCGCUGAACUUAA
rnacentral:misc_RNA from 1 species